rnacentral:rRNA from 1 species
UACGAAGGGGGCUAGCGUUGCUCGGAAUCACUGGGCGUAAAGCGCACGUAGGCGGAUUGUUAAGUCAGGGGUGAAAUCCUGGAGCUCAACUCCAGAACUGCCUUUGAUACUGAGAGGCUUGAGUCCGGGAGAGGUGAGUGGAACUGCGAGUGUAGAGGUGAAAUUCGUAGAUAUUCGCAAGAACACCAGUGGCGAAGGCGGCUCACUGGCCCGGUACUGACGCUGAGGUGCGAAAGCGUGGGGAGCAAACAGG